UAAGGAAUAUUGGUCAAUGGACGCAAGUCUGAACCAGCCAUGCCGCGUGAAGGAUGAAGGUCCUCUGGAUUGUAAACUUCUUUUAUCUGGGACGAAAACGGGAUUUUUAUCUCAAUUGACGGUACCAGAGGAAUAAGCACCGGCUAACUCCGUGCCAGCAGCCGCGGUAAUACGGAGGGUGCGAGCGUUAUCCGGAUUUACUGGGUUUAAAGGGUGCGUAGGUGGGCUUAUAAGUCAGUGGUGAAGUCUCCGAGCUUAACUUGGAAACUGCCGUUGAUACUAUAGGUCUUGAAUUAUCUGGAGNUAAGCGGAAUAUGUCAUGUAGCGGUGAAAUGCUUAGAUAUGACAUAGAACACCAAUUGCGAAGGCAGCUUACUACAUAUAAAUUGACGCUGAGGCACGAAAGCGUGGGGAUCAAACA
rnacentral:rRNA from 1 species